rnacentral:rRNA from 2 species
CGAGUUCUCGUUGAUGAUCGGUGCUUGCACCGAGAUUCAACAUGGAACGAGUGGCGGACGGGUGAGUAACACGUGGGUAACCUGCCCUUAAGUGGGGGAUAACAUUUGGAAACAGAUGCUAAUACCGCAUAGAUCCAAGAACCGCAUGGUUCUUGGCUGAAAGAUGGCGUAAGCUAUCGCUUUUGGAUGGACCCGCGGCGUAUUAGCUAGUUGGUGAGGUAAUGGCUCACCAAGGCGAUGAUACGUAGCCGAACUGAGAGGUUGAUCGGCCACAUUGGGACUGAGACACGGCCCAAACUCCUACGGGAGGCAGCAGUAGGGAAUCUUCCACAAUGGACGCAAGUCUGAUGGAGCAACGCCGCGUGAGUGAAGAAGGCUUUCGGGUCGUAAAACUCUGUUGUUGGAGAAGAAUGGUCGGCAGAGUAACUGUUGCCGGCGUGACGGUAUCCAACCAGAAAGCCACGGCUAACUACGUGCCAGCAGCCGCGGUAAUACGUAGGUGGCAAGCGUUAUCCGGAUUUAUUGGGCGUAAAGCGAGCGCA